AUUAAGCGGUGCAGGCUUUCAAAGAAAGCUUUUAAUUUCGAGCUAAACUUCAAUGGGCUCAUGUCUACCGCGGUACUAUCAAAGCUGCAAUUGGCUGUUGCGUUAUCUCUACUAGCCAGUAGAGGAAUGAUUACUUGAUGGGUAUGUGUCAAAGCACAUUAAGCAACAUUUUGAAAUCUUUUGCAAAUGAGAUUGAAGACAAAAUGUGUCCGAAGUAUUGGAAAUCUAUUAUUAUCCUUUUGGGUUAAUAAUAAAGCAGUGCAAUUUGUAAAUAAUAUUUAACAGGAAAAUUAUAUUUGAAUGUUUAAAAUAAGAUGUCAGACAACAGAAUGAAAAAAAUAAGUAUAACAAAAUUCAAUUACAAUUUCAUAGAUAAUGUGACUAAAAAUUAUUUCUAUUUUAUAAAGUGAUUUAUAACAAGUAGAACAAUAUUCCAACACGAAGUUCAUAAAAUUUUGCCCUAACGAAUCUAGCUCGUGUAUGGAAUCAUUCAUGCAAAAAUUUAUACAGCCUGGAAUCAUCGGAUAUGUUGAUGGUACACAUUUUGGGUUGCAAAAAGCCCCAGAAAACGGACAUAUGUUUUCUUUAACAGAAAAGGAUACCAUAGUCUCAACUCAAUGAUAAUGGGUUUAACUAACUUCGUAAUUCCGUUUUUAUAUCAAAAUAUUGGUUAAACAUCCCAUGAUGUAGCCCUGACCGUUCGUAUGUG
rnacentral:sRNA from 1 species